rnacentral:rRNA from 1 species
ACCGCGAAAGGCUCAUUAAAUCAGUUAUGGUUCCUUAGAUGGUACGCACAGUUACUUGGAUAACUGUGGUAAUUCUAGAGCUAAUACAUGCAAAUAGAGUCCCGACCAUUCUUUGGGAGGGAUGCUUUUAUUAGAUCAAAACCAAUCGGGCCUUCCAGGCCUGUUGUUCUUGGUGACUCUGAAUAACUUUGGGCUGAUCGCACGGUCACGUACCGGCGACGCAUCUUUCAAAUGUCUGCCUUAUCAACUGUCGAUGGUAGGUUCUGCGCCUACCAUGGUUGUAACGGGUAACGGGGAAUCAGGGUUCGAUUCCGGAGAGGGAGCCUGAGAGACAGCUACCACAUCCAAGGAAGGCAGCAGGCGCGCAAAUUACCCACUCCCGGCACGGGGAGGUAGUGACGAAAAAUAACGAUGCAGAACUCUUUCCGAGGCUCUGCAAUCGGAAUGAGUACACUCUAA